rnacentral:rRNA from 1 species
UACAGAGGUCCCAAGCGUUGUUCGGAUUCAUUGGGCGUAAAGGGCAUGCAGGCGGUCGUACGCGUUUUGUGUGACAGCGGGUGGCUUAACUACCCGAGUAUGCGAAAGACGGUAUGACUUGAGGGCUCGAGAGGGACACGGAAUUCCGGGUGGAGUGGUGAAAUGCGUAGAGAUCCGGAGGAACACCGAAGGCGAAGGCAGUGUCCUGGCGAGUGACUGACGCUGAGGUGCGAAAGCUAGGGGAGCGAACGGG